AUGAGAAUGUGCAGAGUUUGCCAACCUGUGGUCCAGCUGGCUUGGCUUCGAGAGCCAGAGCCCUCCUUCAUAUCAAUGACACAGAAGUCAUGGAUCUCACCAUUGCUGCAGGACAGUGAGUCUCAGAGGUGAACAGGAUGUUUUCAUCUGGUGAAACUGAAACUCUACACCCAUGUCAUGCCCCGUCUAUCCUCCCCCUGGACCUGGCGACCACCUGCCUUCGUUAAGUACAUUUACAUAUUUCUAACCACUACUUCUCUUUCCAAGAUAUUGUCAUCUUGGGAAACUGAAACUCUGUACCCAUUGCACAACCCAUCCUUCUUCCCCCUGGUCCGGGCAACUCAUGCUUCCUAUAGCUGCAACUUUCACUAGGGACCUCAUAUAGUGGAAUCUCUUCUUUCCCUUUUGGGUUAUCUCUUCUGAUGGUUGAUUUUAAGUGAC
rnacentral:lncRNA from 1 species